rnacentral:lncRNA from 1 species
CUCCAAGCAGGUCAGAGAACAACUGAUCUGGGUCAGCCCUUCGUUUCAGAGCAAACCCAUCAUUUACCUAAGAAGGCAGAAGGUGAGACAGUCCCAUUGCUGCGUGACACCAUGACACUGAUGCCUGUCUCUAUGAAGGGCACAGAGAAGUCGACCACCUCCGAUCGUUCCUCAUUGAUGAUGGCUACAGAGGAGUUUGAUGACUUGCCCAAGCUCCCACGGUAAGUGACUUGAAGCUGAGCAGUCUGACUCCAGAGCUUGGACUCCUACCCACCACUCUGCACUGCUUCUCUGACAAUGAAGGAGUAAGACAUGUUCCUUUUCCUCCAAGGACAGUCUAGAGGGAAAAGACACUAUCCAUCGACAAUAAUAGGCUUUGGUAAUUACUCUAAUAUCCACUAUCCAUUGACAAGUUAGGCUUUGGUAAUUACUGUAAUAAAAGAUAUAAAUAAAGUACUCCGGCAUUCAGAGUAGAAGUGAUGUUUUCUAAAAGAAUCAGAAGAAAUCUCACAGAGACCCUCAUUUUGAGCUGUGGCUUGAAACGUAAAUGAUAGCUGAGGAGGUAAGAGUUAUUUAUCUGCCAAGGAAAGGGCAAGAGUGAGGGAACAGAGUGGUGCAGAGGCUAAAUGAAAAUGGCUUAUUUUUCACACCUGUAAGGUCUGAGGCAUGGGGAGCAAUUGUCUAGCACAGUUCUCUUCCUUACGGGCCUGCUCACUGUAGCCGGAUGAUCUCUGCCAAUCUUGAGAGCUGACUGGAUUGUGCUCAUCUCUUCCCAACUCCUUGUUCAAGGGUGUCAGGCUGGUAGCUUGAAACUGGCAUGGGCACCGUGAAGUUGGCAAACACUAUCAAUCAGGCUCCCUCUGUCCAGCCCUGGCCCCUGUUGUUAAACGUCAACCAGCUCACCACUGCCCAGAACCCAAUCAUUCAUCAUUUCAUGGUAUCUACCACCUUCUUUAAUGAUUUUUUAAAUGUUCCAAGUGAUUGUCUUAAUUAAAAUAAUUCUAAACAUGUCUCUGAGUAUUUCUGAGACUGUAAACACAUUUCUAAAACACUGUGAGCCUCAGUUUCUGCAUCUGUAAAAAUAGGUGUGUGGCAUUCUGAGGUGCCUUCCACAUAAUUUCAUGAUCAUAAUUUCUUUAGGACAGGGGCUUUCUACAUCCUACAAAUUAAAGCACGAUGAAGAGGUGCUUUUAGAGGUUACUUUUUGAAGGGGUGGCAGUAUCUGAUUUGUUUCUACAAAAUACGAGCUUGCCUUAAAGUCGUUAUUUUUUUUUUUCGUUUCUUCAAGGAAAUGAAAAAAAAAUAAGAGGGAAAGUUAAAUUCCUUGAGUACUGAAAGGUGAAACUUUUUUGAAAAAAAAAAUCUGAAUAUCAGAUUCCCAAUUCCAACAAACAGGGUUCAUGUUAAAGAACAUGUUUAGAUAGUCACUGCCAAUUCUUUAUGGAGCAAAGGCAGGUUACAAAUGAGUAAACAACUAAAAUUAACAAAAAAGGAAACAAAAAUUAUGUAGAAGAACAAGGUGUAUUUCAAGCAAUCUUUCUCUCAAGGGGGAGAAAGUAUGGUGAAAAAUAUAAAUGGAAAAGUUUGAAAGAGCAAUGAAAAAUAGUAAAUAGAGAAAGAGAAGCCGGAGACACCAAGCAAACAUCUUGAAAGUGCAUCCAGGAUGUCCGAAGUGGUGUGAGUCUACAAUCCUAGAAGUGCAGACAGCGGUAGAACAUGAGGCUAACAGGAGAUAUUUCAGAGACAAUGUAGCGAGAAGAACUGAAUGAAGAAUUUAUGCUUGAGAUUAAAAUAUGAUCAGGAAAAUAAAAAACCUUAAGAAAUAAUGAAGAAAAUGACUGUAAAGCACUCAGAAUUCCUUUGAGGUAACUAAACAAACAUCAUUACCAUAAGCACAUUUCACAACAUCUGUCUACAAAAAAUUCAGUUAUCUGCCAUUCUAACAUUUAAAAAGAUCUCUUGAGGACCAAAAUCAUCUUUUUCAAGAGAAAAAAAAAAUUGCCUAG